rnacentral:rRNA from 1 species
UGGGGAAUAUUGGACAAUGGGGGGAACCCUGAUCCAGCCAUGCCGCGUGUGUGAAGAAGGCCUUAUGGUUGUAAAGCACUUUAAGCGAGGAGGAGGGUACUGGUAUUAAUACUACCAGGUACUGGACGUUACUCGCAGAAUAAGCACCGGCUAACUCUGUGCCAGCAGCCGCGGUAAUACAGAGGGUGCGAGCGUUAAUCGGAUUUACUGGGCGUAAAGCGUGCGUAGGCGGCUAAUUGAGUCGGAUGUGAAAUCCCCGAGCUUAACUUGGGAAUUGCAUUCGAUACUGGUUAGCUAGAGUGUGGGAGAGGAUGGUAGAAUUCCAGGUGUAGCAGUGAAAUGCGUAGAGAUCUGGAGGAAUACCGAUGGCGAAGGCAGCCAUCUGGCCUAACACUGACGCUGAAGUACGAAAGCAUGGGGAGCAAACAGG